rnacentral:lncRNA from 1 species
AAACCCCGUAAAUGUACCCCUUGGCCAAAACACUUCCUUCCCUUGUUCAGAGUCAUGUUAAUAUUAUUAAACUGUGUGGAAAAGGUAAGUUUGGGGUAAAAACCCCAAGAGUUCCAAAAGCCCAGGUACAUGCGAAAAAAAAGAAAAAAAAGUAGAAAACCAUCGAGAGAAAAAAAUAUAUAAAUAAACUCGAAGGUUCAAAAGAAGCACGAGCCAAAGAAGGGAACUCAGUUGAAAAAUAGAAGAAAAAAAAGAGAAAUCGAG